rnacentral:rRNA from 1 species
AUUGAACGCUGGCGGCAUGCCUUACACAUGCAAGUCGAACGGUAACAGGUCUUCGGAUGCUGACGAGUGGCGAACGGGUGAGUAAUACAUCGGAACGUGCCCGAUCGUGGGGGAUAACGGAGCGAAAGCUUUGCUAAUACCGCAUACGAUCUACGGAUGAAAGCAGGGGACCGCAAGGCCUUGCGCGGACGGAGCGGCCGAUGGCAGAUUAGCUAGUAGGUGGGGUAACGGCCUACCUAGGCGACGAUCAGUAGCCGGCCUGAGAGGGUGUACGGCCACACUGGAACUGAGACACGGUCCAGACUCCUACGGGAGGCAGCAGUGGGGAAUAUUGCGCAAUGGGGGAAACCCUGACGCAGCGACGCCGCGUGAGCGAUGAAGGCUUUCGGGUUGUAAAGCUCUGUUCUAAGGGACGAAUAGCUCUGUUGUAAAUAAUGGCAGAGAAUGACGGUACCUUAGGAGAAAGCCCCGGCUAACUACGUGCCAGCAGCCGCGGUAAACU